UCUGGCGGUAAUAGCGGAGGGGGCCCACCCGUUCCCAUCCCGAACACGGAAGUUAAGCCCUCCAGCGCCGAUGGUACUAAGCUUUGCUUGGGAGAGUAGGUCACCGCCAGAA
rnacentral:rRNA from 1 species